rnacentral:rRNA from 1 species
AACGAACGCUGGCGGCAUGCCUAACACAUGCAAGUCGAACGAGACCUUCGGGUCUAGUGGCGCACGGGUGCGUAACGCGUGGGAACCUGCCCUUAGGUUCGGAAUAACUCCCCGAAAGGGGUGCUAAUACCGGAUAAUGUCUUCGGACCAAAGAUUUAUCGCCUUUGGAUGGGCCCGCGUUGGAUUAGCUAGUUGGUAGGGUAAAAGCCUACCAAGGCGACGAUCCUUAGCUGGUCUGAGAGGAUGAUCAGCCACACUGGGACUGAGACACGGCCCAGACUCCUACGGGAGGCAGCAGUGGGUAAUAUUGGACAAUGGGCGAAAGCCUGAUCCAGCAAUGCCGCGUGAGUGAUGAAGGCCUUAGGGUUGUAAAGCUCUUUUACCCGGGAUGAUAAUGACAGUACCGGGAGAAUAAGCUCCGGCUAACUCCGUG